UCGAUGUGCACUUUCAAUACCAUACAGUCAGGUCCGUGAUAAUCAGGGUCCUUUUUUGAAAUUCCCAAAGCAUUCAUAAGUGCAUGAAAAAUUUUCACAUAUGACUUAAUGUCUUGUAGAACCUUCCAGUCACGAUAGGUUUUACCUGCCAAAUUAGAUACCGUCAAGGUAUGGCUUCUGAAUUGUAGCAUGCCUAGCAUCCAGUGAGCCUUGUUUGUGGGAAAAAUUGGCAUGAAACAUAGUCAACAUCGGCCCAAGGUUUGCUUAAAGGUAAGUUGUGACCUGUUACCACCUCAACAAGGCUCAACUCCGACAUCAAAACAUGGGGAUCCUUCAUGAAAGCAGGGUAUAUGUCUUUUAUUUUAUUUUGGAACC
rnacentral:lncRNA from 1 species